rnacentral:lncRNA from 1 species
UUUUCCUUCUCUCUCUAACAAUCCUAACACCACCACAAUCCACCUGUCGUCGUCGCCACCACCACCGCCACCCUCCUGCCACCACCACCACUUCACUGCAACACCCAUUUCGCCCCAUUUCGUAAGCCCCUGUUUUUUCUCAUCCAUCGUUGAACACUAUAUUGAACCAAUUUUGAAGUGGGUGAGUGAAAUUGACCGACGGGGACAAGACCGGCGGGGCUGUAGCGGUGGUCAUGGGUGGCGGAAUUACCCAAUCUAGAUUCAGCCCCACAAAUUUACUCACAUAUAUAUAAAAUGAAGGAAUUACCCAUCGAAAGUGUUCUUCAACUCCCUCUUCCAUCAUCCUUUUCCUGUUUUGCAAAGUGUAAAACACUAUUUAACACAACAAGUAUAUAAAUCUCUGAAUCAGAAACUUCUACUCUGAAACACAAUUAGUUCACUAAAUAAAGAUGUUACCAGAUCUACAUCUUCCAGCAUCAUCAUCCUCUUCCUUGUGAAUGGAGACGAAGAGACUUCUACCAGAUCUACGUCUUCAAGAUAAUCAACAAAAUUUUUUGAGGUGUCUUCAGCCAUGAAACUCAAAAACACAUCAAUGUUUGUUCAAGGAUCGAAUAAAAUGAAGUCUAUACGGGGGGAAUUUGUGAACUGAUUGGAAACAAAAUUGGAAGAGAUGAUCGAAAAAAAGUGUUUAUGGAAAAACAGGGGUAAAGAGUAAAGGUUAAUAAUGGUCAACAAAGGGGGAAAUUAUUCUUUUAAUUUAUUAUUUGUUAUAAUUGUUUGUUUUAGUAAUCAAAGUAAAAUGACCAAAAUACCCUUAUGUAAACUGUCAAAAUAACUGAGUUAAGGCUAAAGGACAUAACUUGUAAGGGUUUGUAAACAUCGAGUACGUUUCUUGUAUAUAUUGAAGAUAAAGGACACACUUUGCAAUAAAUAGCAUACAUAAAGGACGAUUUUU